GACGAACGCUGGCGGCGUGCUUAACACAUGCAAGUCGAACGGAAGGCCCUGCCUUUGUGGGGUGCUCGGGUGGCGAACGGGUGAGUAACACGUGAGUAACCUGCCCUUGACUUUUGGAUAACUUCCGGAAACUGGGGCUAAUACCGGAUAGGAGCUCCUUCUUCAUGGUGGGGGUUGGAAAGUUUCGGCGGUUGGGGAUGGACUCGCGGCUUAUCAGCUUGUUGGUGGGGUAGUGGCUUACCAAGGCUUUGACGGGUAGCCGGCCUGAGAGGGUGACCGGCCACAUUGGGACUGAGAUACGGCCCAGACUCCUACGGGAGGCAGCAGUGGGGAAUAUUGCACAAUGGGCGGAAGCCUGAUGCAGCAACGCCGCGUGCGGGAUGACGGCCUUCGGGUUGUAAACCGCUUUCGCCUGUGACGAAGCGUGAGUGACGGUAAUGGGUAAAGAAGCACCGGCUAACUACGUG
rnacentral:rRNA from 1 species